rnacentral:pre_miRNA from 11 species
UUUUGAGGCUCCAAGAAUUCCUUCUAGAUCCUCUGUUGAAAGACCCCCCAGAGUGGGGAGACCCUCACUCAAGUCUCGGGAUAAGCCGAUGCCCCAAUAAUUCAAGAGAGACC